rnacentral:rRNA from 1 species
UACGUAGGGGGCAAGCGUUGUCCGGAAUCAUUGGGCGUAAAGAGCGUGUAGGGGGCUCGGUAAGUCCGCUGUAAAAGUCCAGGGCUCAACCCUGGAAAGCCGGUGGAAACUGUCGAGCUAGAGUCCGGAAGAGGCGAGUGGAAUUCCUGGUGUAGCGGUGAAAUGCGCAGAUAUCAGGAGGAACACCAAUGGCGAAGGCAGCUCGCUGGGACGGUACUGACACUGAGACGCGAAAGCGUGGGGAGCAAACAGG